rnacentral:rRNA from 1 species
UACGAAGGGGGCUAGCGUUGCUCGGAAUCACUGGGCGUAAAGAGCUCGUAGGCGGCUUGUCACGUCGGAUGUGAAAGCCCGAGGCUUAACCUCGGGUCUGCAUUCGAUACGGGCUAGCUAGAGUGUGGUAGGGGAGAUCGGAAUUCCUGGUGUAGCGGUGAAAUGCGCAGAUAUCAGGAGGAACACCGGUGGCGAAGGCGGAUCUCUGGGCCAUUACUGACGCUGAGGAGCGAAAGCGUGGGGAGCGAACAGG